GGGACGGUCGCCAAGUGGGAAGGCAAACGACUGAAGCUCGUUCAUUCGAGGGUUCGAUUCCCUCUCGUCCCA
rnacentral:tRNA from 1 species